UACGUAGGUGGCAAGCGUUGUCCGGAUUUACUGGGCGUAAAGAGCGCGCAGGCGGUCGUUCAAGUCGCGUGUGAAAGCCCCCGGCUCAACUGGGGAGGGUCACGCGAUACUGAUCGACUCGAAGGCAGGAGAGGGAAGUGGAAUUCCCGGUGUAGUGGUGAAAUGCGUAGAUAUCGGGAGGAACACCAGUAGCGAAGGCGGCUCGCUGGGCCAUUCCUGACGCUGAGACGCGAAAGCUAGGGGAGCGAACAGG
rnacentral:rRNA from 1 species